rnacentral:rRNA from 1 species
AUGUCGGACGAAGGGGAGGACGCGCCCGUGGCGGCGGUGGCGGCGGGCUUCGGGCUGCCGGAGGAGCUGGCGGCCGUGCUGCCGGCGGACCCAUUCGAGCAGCUGGACGUGGCGCGCAAGAUCACCUCCAUCGCGCUCGCGUCCCGCGUCGGCCGCCUCGAGGCGGAGGCCGCGGGGCUCCGCGCGCAGCUCGCCCAGCGCGACGACGCCGCCGAGGACCUCCGCGAGCGCGUCGAGCAGCUCGAGUCCGCGCUCGCGCUCGCCACCGACCGCCUCAGCCGCGCCGAGGACGACAAGGAGACGCUGCUGAAAGAGAAGGCGACGCUGUCAAACACCGUCAACAAGCUCAACAGAGAUGUCGCCAAGCUGGAAGUUUUCAAGAAGACGCUUAUGCAGUCACUUCAGGAAGAUGAUGACAAACCCAACAUUCCCAAGGCUAAGCUCACCGAAGCUUCGAGUUUCUCCCCUGCACCAUCUCUUGGAGACGACGAUUCAGCAUUUCCAACUUCUAAUUCAUCACAGUUGUUUGAAACUGCAAGUUCUGCUUCAGAGGAAAGUAGCCAUGCUGAGCCAGACGUGCCUAGGCCACCCCGCUCGCAUGUAUAUAUGCCAUCGUACAACAGUACACCAAAGCUUACUCCUCCAGGCUCACCUCCAAGGGGUUAUGCACCACUUUCACCACCAAGGAGACAUUCAAUCUCGAUUGCGUCAAUGAACAGGCUCGAUGACAGGUCUUCGGUCUUUUCCAGUAGCAAUAGCGCAAUGACAUCUCCAUUUGACACACCAAGUCCAACAGGACGAACACGAGUUGAUGGAAAAGAGUUCUUUCGCCAAGUCAGAAACCGCCUGUCUUAUGAGCAGUUCAGCGCAUUCCUAGCCAAUGUGAAGGAACUGAAUGCACACAAGCAGACCAGAGAGGAUACACUAAGAAAAGCUGAUGCGAUAUUUGGACCUGAAAACAGUGACUUGUACACCAUCUUUGAGAGUCUAAUUACUCGCACUCAUCAUUAG